CAGAGAAUAGUUUAAUAAAAAUUUUAGUUUUGGGAAUUAAAGAUAAUAAGGUAAAUAUUAUUUUCUCUGA
rnacentral:tRNA from 1 species